rnacentral:rRNA from 1 species
UACGUAGGGUGCAAGCGUUCUUCGGAAUUACUGGGCGUAAAGGGUGCGUAGGCGGUCGGGCAAGUCUGAUGUGAAAUCUCACAGCUUAACUGUGAAACUGCAUUGGAUACUAUCCGGCUAGAGGAAUGGAGGGGAGACUGGAAUACUUGGUGUAGCGGUGAAAUGCGUAGAUAUCGUAAGGAAGACCAGUGGCGAAGGCGAAUCUCUGGACAGUUACUGACGCUGAGGCACGAAGGCCAGGGGAGCAAACGGG